rnacentral:misc_RNA from 1 species
GAAGUAAAAGUCGUAACAAGGUUUCCGUAGGUGAACCUGCGGAAGGAUCAUUAUCGAAUUACCGGCGAGGGCUGUGGCUGGCCUUUCGGGGCACGUGCACGCCCGAGCCCUUAAUCCAAACCACACCUGUGAACCAUUUGUAAGGCGCGAGGCCUCGGCCUCGGGCCUUUACGUAUCGUCAUAAACGCAU